GAAAUGCGAUAAGUAAUGUGAAUUGCAGAAUUCAGUGAAUCAUCGAAUCUUUGAACGCACCUUGCGCCCUUUGGCUAUUCUGAAGGGCAUGCCUGUUUGAGUAUCAUGAACACCUCAACUCUCAUGGUUUGCCAUGAUGAGCUUGGACUUUGGGGGUCUUGCUGGCCUAUGGUCGGCUCCUCUCAAAUGAAUCAGCUUGCCAGUGUUUGGUGGCGUCACAGGUGUGAUAACUAUCUACGCUUGUGGUUUUCCGCCAGGUAACCUUCAGUGAUGGAGGUUCGCUGGGGCUCACAAAUGUCUCUCCUCAGCGAGGACAGCUUUUUAAUGUUUGAUCUCAAAUCAGGUAGGACUACCCGCUGAACUUAA
rnacentral:misc_RNA from 1 species